rnacentral:rRNA from 1 species
AUUGAACGCUGGCGGCGUGCCUAACACAUGCAAGUCGAGCGGUAACGCGGGAGCAAUCCUGGCGACGAGCGGCGAACGGGUGAGUAAUGCUUCGGAAUCUACCCAGUAGUGGGGAAUAACCAGCCGAAAGGUUGGCUAAUACCGCAUACGUCCUACGGGGGAAAGCAGGGGAUCGCAAGACCUUGCGCUAUUGGAUGAGCCGAAGUCGGAUUAGCUAGUUGGUAGGGUAACGGCCUACCAAGGCGACAAUCCGUAGCUGGUCUGAGAGGACGACCAG